AUGCGUCAAGAUUCUCUGGAGUUUGCAGCCGUCUCUUCCAUUCCUGCUAUCAAGCCAACAGAGGUGCCAAGCCCUAAAACGUCUCUUCUGACUUCAGCGGUAAAUUUCCAUACUCUAAGAAAAGAAAUAGCAGGAUCUCCAUUUCCCACCAGAGUUAAGAUGAGUCUUGAAAGUGCUAGGGUGGAUUGGUUACCAGCAUUAACACCUCCCACUAGCAAAAGGCCAAAAGAUGCAAAUCCAGAAGCCCAGCCUGAUAGCAAAGCUGGUGUGACACCUGCAUCCCUGAAGAAAACUCAGACGGUGGAUGCUAGAGUUAAAACUUCUGCAUUCUUUCAAAAGCCAGCCUCGGGGAACCUUGAUGCAGUCUAUUCCAGAAUGAUGCAGUCAACUGCUGUCCAGUUUUCCCCUACUUUCUCUCUGAAGGAAGAAACAACAGACAGUAAAGCCAGAAACUCAAAAGCAGCUGAAAUGAAGGGCUCUAGACCCCCAAGCCUGCUGCCUGCUCUUCAGACACUCCCACAGGGCAGUGUACAUUCUUCGUUAUUGAUGCCUCUGGAAACACUAGUUCACAGUGACUUAAUUCAGUCUUCAUUUCAAGGACCAAGGAGCACAACUGAUAGAUCACAGUCCCUCUCUUUGUCCCAGACUCUGAACUGUACUAAACAUAUUUCUCAAGAAACCAAGAGGAGCUCUCAAAGUGGAGUGCUGGUUUUGCAAGGUGAUGCUAAUCAUCAGACAAUUACUAGCAAACCUGAAACAGCUGGAUCCCCUGGGGGCCCACAGACUUCUGCUAACUCAUCCCCAUUAAGCCAAUCACAGAUGUCAGAGUUAAAAUUUUCCCAAACUACUAGAGAGCGAGGAGUAACACCUGCCUUCUUUCCAGGUACAUCUGCUUUUGUGAAUGCAGGCCUUCAACCUCUAAGCACAUUUGAUUCUGUUCAUGCAGGGCAUCAGCCACCAGCUACAUCUGCUCCUGUUUAUGUUGGAUUGCAGCAAAGGGGCAUCUCCACUUCUGCCGCGAAGGGAUUUCACGUACCGAUUUCAUCUGCUUUUACUAGUUCUGGAUCUCAGGUUCAAGCCAUUUCUGCCCAUCCUGGGUCUCAGGAAACCUUCCCUGUGAAGCUACAGAUGAGCACAGUGAAAGACUCCAAGGGAAAGACAAGUCUCUCGCAUCAGGUUGAUAAGGCUGCUUCUCCCAAGCUGAGUCCACAAGCCAGCACAACCCCCAGCCCCCCUGGAUUGUAUGACAACGGGAACCAGAAAGUUCCUCUUCAUGGCUUUGCUCCUUCAGCCUCCCAGAACCAGCAACCUAUCAGCCUGGAAUCUUUUCCUCCAAAACUGGCCUUGCUCCGUGCACAAGAAAGGCAGCCAAGCUCAACAACAGCAUAUCCUGAACCGGUGGUGCCCGGUGGUUCUCAUGAGAUCCUGGCACAUCUGGCACAAGCACUAGUUCAGCAGUUUGGUGUGUUGGAUGAUACAGCUACCAAAAACCUCAGUGGCUUUAGAGUCGAUCAACUUACAGUCCUACCAUCAUCCCAGUAUUUGUCUUUUCUGCUUAGAAACACUAAUGGCAUAAUGUGUUUGCAGCCCAUGCAAGAUUCUCCUCUGCCUACAGGAUUCCCAAACACCAGUAUUGGGACUCUGGUUUCCAUUCAACAAAUGCUGGCAGCAACCAAUUCUUCAGCAUUAGAUCUUGCAGACUUACAAAAUCUGAGUCCCUCUAGCUUAAUUCUGGUUAAGCCUGUAUUUAUCCUUUUGCCCACUGAGAGACCAGAGUUCCAGAUAUUGCGCUCUCCUAAAGGUGAGGAUGACCACAAAACUGCUUUAUCUUUCACUAACAAGCAAGAUCUGAAUUUGGUUACCCCUGGAAGCAGCCACAAUAUUCCAAUGAAAACUAGUUCCUCUUAUUUCACUAGUAAGCUUUUGAGGCCUGAAACUACUCUCUCCACUGCUUCUAACCAAUCAGUAGAGAAAAUGAAAGUAACUUCUCAGCCGGUGCUGACUAAUAGGAAUUCUACAGCCACCACUGGUUUAUUUGAAGCUGUGACCUCAGUGUCAAAUCACAUGCUGUAUCCACUGACAAGGAUUAACACUACAGUGCAGGCCAUCCAUCUGCACAGUCUGCCUGAAGAGAUUCAGUUAUCUGCUCCAUAUUCCCAAGACAGCAAAGAGACUGAUAUCCUUUUACUCAAUGGAGUGGUUGCAGAGCCUCUCACCUCUGCUGUGCCACCAUUAGUGUCAUCUACACAGCCUGGCCCCUCUGUCUCCCCAAAAGUAUUUUUCACAGCUGAAAAGCCAAGCUCUUCUUCUUUAAUUUCUUUACUCUCAGCAAAGGGACUCCCUGCUUCUGAAACACCAACCCAGCCUCUGUUUACUAUGAGAAGGACUGUGGAUCAGCUUCAGCACAGUAUGAAACUAAUGCUGCAAACAACCGGCCUUCACCAAGGUGUAGUGAGCACAUCUUCCUCCAUCAAUACACAAUGCAGGGAGUGUUUGAACUUGCGCUCAGCUGGAACCAUAAAACAGCCAUUGAAGAUGUCCACAAACAUCAUGCCUUUGCAGUCUGCUUCACAAAGUGUCCCAAGCAUGGCAUCACUUCCAAGGCUGCCAGCACAAGUACACUUUGUGCCCAGCACAUUGCCAGCUUUCUCAGCACUUCCAGUUGGAAACAACCAUAAAGAUUCAGUAGCAGGAAGCAGUGCCCGUUCAGGAGGAGUCACUACGCAUGCCACAGUGGUGCAAACGCGCACCACUUCUAUAAAACCUCAUCUUACUAAACACCUGGUAUUUACUCCCAUUGUGCCUAAGUCCUUUAUGGUGACAGAGAGACCAACAGUAGCACCCAUGCAUGAUCCAUUUUCAGCCAAGGUCCAAAGGAAAACAGCUGUUUCUGGGAAACUGCUGCCUGCAGUUACCCACACAAGGAUAUAUGCCAAGUCUCCUGCAAGCCUUCCUUCGUCUGUGUUGACAGAUGCCCCCCUGCUAUCAGCCCUGAAAUAUGAGCAAACUAGUCUAGCACCUACUAAAUUGUUCUCACUGGCCAACGUGGGAGAAAAUGCAAAACCAAUUGAAGUCAGCACAAGUGCAAGAAAAAUAGGAGCUAGUGCACUCUUGGGAACAAGCGUGUCUCUGCCAGCCAUGUUUAACACAAGGACACAGCAACCCCCCACAGCAGUUCUUGACAGUAAGAUUGCUUUAACUCCGGUACAGCCAUCUGUGUUUGCAGGAUCUGUUGCUCUUGAAAGAGAGUCUAAAUUAACACCAAGCACAUCACAGUCUCCCUCAGCAAUGACUUUUCUCUUUGCAGUGAAGAACGAUCAUGUGACUGCUUCACUUACAAACAAAAAAGCAUUUCUCCUGCCAACAUCAGCUAAGAGAUCUGAUCCAUACAUGGCGCUGCCUACGGUUGCCAGGGUGAACAAAGCAACUGUGGUCUCACCAUCCAUAGGGAAGACUGAUGGCAUGUUAGUGAAAGAGGAAUAUUCAGCAGCAACUGGCCAGCUGCCCAUUCAGGCACCUGUGUUUUCAUCACAUCAGGCAUCAGCAAGUCUACAAAGUCAUCCUUUGGAGAAAAUAUUAUUGAAAGAUAGCACUGAAUAUGAGCCUGGUCAUUCAAGUCCUGACACUGUCUUGCAGGCCACUGAGUCAUUUACAACAAAAUCAGUUUCUGUUUCUGCUAAUAGGCUUGUAAAUAAGGUUAUAUAUCAGUCACCUGCCUUAAAUGCAGUAGCUGUCAAUGAUGCUGAGAUGCUUCUAACCCCAGAUCUAACCCAGUUCCUUCCAACCCCAGAAAGCCUCUCAUAUUCUUCUCGGAUUCUGGUAGCACUUACACCAGAGAGAAAUUCCCUGCCAGAUGUUAUGAACACCGGACACUCUGAGAAGCCGUUCUUGAACACAGAAACAGAGGAGCUGUUUAAAACAAAUGAAGUGACUGAAGAAGCAGCUGAAGGUUUGGUAACCAUCCUGACACUGCUGGAUUCUGAGCCCAGCCUACUGCUGAGUGAAUCACGCCAGAGAAGUGUUUUGCAGUCAGAUGAUGUCCUUCUGAAUGGGUAA
rnacentral:lncRNA from 1 species